CAUUGAAACACUGAUUCCCAUACAAUCACUGAAGUUAAGCAAUAUUGAGCCUAGUCAGUACUUAGAUGGGUAAUCUCUUAUGAAUACCCAGUGCUGUAA